GCAGUCGAACGGUAGCACAGAGAGCUUGCUCUCGGGUGACGAGUGGCGGACGGGUGAGUAAUGUCUGGGAAACUGCCUGAUGGAGGGGGAUAACUACUGGAAACGGUAGCUAAUACCGCAUAACGUCGCAAGACCAAAGAGGGGGACCUUCGGGCCUCUUGCCAUCAGAUGUGCCCAGAUGGGAUUAGCUAGUAGGUGGGGUAACGGCUCACCUAGGCGACGAUCCCUAGCUGGUCUGAGAGGAUGACCAGCCACACUGGAACUGAGACACGGUCCAGACUCCUACGGGAGGCAGCAGUGGGGAAUAUUGCACAAUGGGCGCAAGCCUGAUGCAGCCAUGCCGCGUGUAUGAAGAAGGCCUUCGGGUUGUAAAGUACUUUCAGCGGGGAGGAAGGCGAUGAGGUUAAUAACCUUGUCGAUUGACGUUACCCGCAGAAGAAGCACCGGCUAACUCCGUGCCAGCAGCCGCGGUAAUACGGAGGGUGCAAGCGUUAAUCGGAAUUACUGGGCGUAAAGCGCACGCAGGCGGUCUGUCAAGUCGGAUGUGAAAUCCCCGGGCUCAACCUGGGAACUGCAUUCGAAACUGGCAGGCUAGAGUCUUGUAGAGGGGGGUAGAAUUCCAGGUGUAGCGGUG
rnacentral:rRNA from 1 species